rnacentral:snoRNA from 1 species
AUAAAAGGAAGAAUAAAUAAGAAGACCGAAUAGAGGUGAUGGUUUCCCUCGGAUGGCAAUCCAGAUGGAAGGCAUGGAAACUGCAGACAUAUCAACAUGGCAUCAGUUCAGACCGCCCGUCUGCUUGU